GUGCUCACUUAGGCAGCACAUAUACUAAAACUAGAAUGAUACAGAGAAGAUUAGCCUGGCCCCUGUGCAAGGAUGACGCACAAAUGCGUGAAGUGUUCCAGAACUAU
ensembl:snRNA U6 U6 spliceosomal RNA